rnacentral:rRNA from 1 species
GACGAACCGUGCGAACGUUGUUCGGAAUCACUGGGCUUAAAGGGCGCGUAGGCGGGCGGUCAAGUCAGAGGUGAAAUCCCACGGCUCAACCGUGGAAGUGCCCCUGAUACUGGCCGUCUGGAGGGAGGUAGGGGCGUGCGGAACUUCCGGUGGAGCGGUGAAAUGCGUAGAUAUCGGAAGGAACACCGAUGGCGAAAGCAGCGCGCUGGACCUUUACUGACGCUGAGGCGCGAAAGCCAGGGGAGCAAACGGG